rnacentral:rRNA from 1 species
GCKUMUGWRAAGCCKUUGUGGCCCYGCWAGGGGURYUAMCCGCGACKGURMAUAAGAAUGUUGGUAUUAAAUCGCAAGUCASUUCWKACUGGCUACACUUUCGAAUUGCGGGGAUCCCCUAAAGCCUGCACCUACCAACCCAGCGAGGAAACUCAGCUGGGGGCCUAUGCUAACACCAUAGGGUAUGGUAAGAAUGGAGCAGGAUAGGUAUCAUGGGUAAUCCGCAGCCAAGUCCCUAAGGCAUUUUGCUAUGGGAAAGGUUCACAGACUAAGUGGAAGUGGGCCAGAGCAGUCAGGCUCUGGCUUAAGAUAUAGUCGGUCCUCAUGAGAAAUUAUGGGGGAGUCACCGGAUCAAGCGAAGCAAAACUUAGUUUUAUGUAGAUCUGAGUCUUUGUUCUCCUUUGUUCUGUCUGCUAUAAACGUUCCGUAGGUGAACCUGCGGAAGGAUCAUUACAAAUGAAUCAAAAGCUGUUGUGGGGUUUCCCUCGCAGCUGCCUUUGCGUGCUCUGCAUGCCUAGGUUUCAACCCAUUGUGAACUAAAAAACCUUUCAGCUUCGGUAGCAUGCCGGCUGGGGCAACCCAGUCGCGCAGUCAGCCUGCCGGCAGCAACCAACCAAACCCAUGCCAUAACCUUCUGUCUGAAAAUUAUUUUCGAAUGAAAAUUAAAACUUUCAACAACGGAUCUCUUGGUUCUCGCAUCGAUGAAGAACGCAGCGAAACGCGAUAGUUAAUGUGAAUUGCAGAAUUCAGUGAAUCAUCGAGUCUUUGAACGCACAUUGCGCCCCCUGGUAUUCCGGCGGGCAUGUCUGUUUGAGCGUCAUUUCAACCCUCAUGUAGUUGACUUUGUCAACCGGCAUGGUAUUGGGCUCUGACCGGUCUUAGUUGACAGGCAGGCCUUAAAGUUGAAAGCUCUGCUGGUGACUUACACCGAACCGAACAUAGUAAUUUUUCUUGUUCAGCCUAGGUAAAGCUCAUUAAGCCUGAACAAAACCCCAUUUCUAAGGUUUGACCUCAGAUCAGACAAGGAUACCCGCUGAACUUAAGCAUAUCAAUAAGCGGAGGAAAAGAAACCAACAGGGAUUGCCUCAGUAACGGCGAGUGAAGCGGCAACAGCUCAAAUUUGAAAUCUGGAGUUUUCAACUUCCGAAUUGUAAUUUGAAGAGGAUGUUUCGGUUGCGACUAUAGCCUAAGUUCUUUGGAACAGGACGUCACAGAGGGUGAGAAUCCCGUACGUGGUGAAUGGUCUGCUUCCAUGUGAAACUCCUUCGAAGAGUCGAGUUGUUUGGGAAUGCAGCUCUAAAUGGGUGGUAAAUUUCAUCUAAAGCUAAAUACUGGCGAGAGACCGAUAGCGCACAAGUAGAGUGAUCGAAAGAUGAAAAGCACUUUGAAAAGAGAGUUAAACAGUACGUGAAAUUGUUGAAAGGGAAGCGCUUGCAAUCAGACUUGCCUGCGGUUGAUCAACGUUCCUUUUGGUGCGUGCACUCUGCCGUUUGCAGGCCAGCAUCGGUUAGGGUGGUGGGACAAAGACUCCAGGAAUGUGGCUCUCUUCGGGGAGUGUUAUAGCCUGGUGUGUAAUGCCACCUAUCCUGACCGAGGACCGCGCGAAAGCUAGGAUGCUGGCUUAAUGGUUGUAAGCGACCCGUCUUGAAACACGGACCAAGGAGUCUAACAUCUAUGCGAGUGUUUGGGUGUCAAACCCAUGCGCGUAAUGAAAGUGAACGGAGGUGGGAGUCCUCACGGAUGCACCAUCGACCGAUCCUGAUGUCUUCGGAUGGAUUUGAGUAGGAGCAUAGCUGUUGGGACCCGAAAGAUGGUGAACUAUGCCUGAAUAGGGUGAAGCCAGAGGAAACUCUGGUGGAGGCUCGCAGCGGUUCUGACGUGCAAAUCGAUCGUCAAAUUUGGGUAUAGGGGCGAAAGACUAAUCG